rnacentral:rRNA from 1 species
AUUGAACGCUGGCGGCAUGCCUUACACAUGCAAGUCGAACGGCAGCACGGGUGCUUGCACCUGGUGGCGAGUGGCGAACGGGUGAGUAAUACAUCGGAACAUGUCCUGUAGUGGGGGAUAGCCCGGCGAAAGCCGGAUUAAUACCGCAUACGAUCUACGGAUGAAAGCGGGGGCCCUUCGGGCCUCGCGCUAUAGGGUUGGCCGAUGGCUGAUUAGCUAGUUGGUGGGGUAAAGGCCUACCAAGGCGACGAUCAGUAGCUGGUCUGAGAGGACGACCAGCCACACUGGAACUGAGACACGGCCCAGACUCCUACGGGAGGCAGCAGUGGGGAAUUUUGGACAAUGGGCGAAAGCCUGACCCAGCAAUGCCGCGUGUGUGAAGAAGGCCUUCGGGUUGUAAAGCACUUUUGUCCGGAAAGAACACCUGGGCCCGAAUACGGGCGGGGGAUGACGGUACCGAAAGAAAAAGCACCGGCUAACUACGUG